GUAGCCUUCCUCCUCCUCCUCCUCAUCCUUUCCUCAUCCUUUCCCCUUCCUCCUCCUCCUUCCUCCUCAUCCUUAUCCUCUCCUCCUCCUCUCCCGUAGCCUUCCUCCUCAUCCUUAUCCUCCCCUCAUUGAAAUUCUUAGCACUUGAUCGUAUGGGAGAACCAUGGCCUGAAGCUCAGAAGGUUGAGAUGCACUAGAUGUAGCAACAAAAGGAGAUGGGGUAGGUGAAGUCGGAGGUCUCGCAAUCCUCAUUUUCCAACCCCAUGUUUUCGAUACAUGAUGAAUACCCCAUGUUAUCGAUGUGCGCACGUACGAUAAGUGUACUGGGAACAUGUUCAUUUUGCGGGCAGCAAUUAUGUGGACUGUGAACGAUUUUCCCGCAUAUGCAAUGGUUUAUGGGUGGAGCACUAGGGGUUAUAUGGCAUGCGUUGUAUGCAAUGAUGAUGUAACAUCUAGCUGGCACGCUAGGAAAGUUUGUUACCUUGGUCAUCGGAGAUGGUUGCCAUGGGACCACGAGUGGCGGGAAAAUGAUAAAAAGUUUGACGGGAAAACAGAGCAUCACCUCAGACCUAGAAAAUUAAGAUCAAAAUUGUCAAUGAAUUUGUUUUGAUUUUGAUGAAUUAAAUUGAAUUUGUAAUUCUUAAUGUUCGUUGGAGAACCUCUUAGUACAUAAACCCAAGUUGGAAAUAG
rnacentral:sRNA from 1 species